CACUGAGAAGCUUUUACAGCGUUAGCCUUUUAAGUUGAAGAAGAAACCCGUUUCCUCAGUGA
rnacentral:tRNA from 1 species